CCGCCUGGGGAGUACGGCCGCAAGGUUAAAACUCAAAUGAAUUGACGGGGGCCCGCACAAGCGGUGGAGCAUGUGGUUUAAUUCGAUGCAACGCGAAGAACCUUACCUGGUCUUGACAUCCACAGAACUUUCCAGAGAUGGAUUGGUGCCUUCGGGAACUGUGAGACAGGUGCUGCAUGGCUGUCGUCAGCUCGUGUUGUGAAAUGUUGGGUUAAGUCCCGCAACGAGCGCAACCCUUAUCCUUUGUUGCCAGCGGUCCGGCCGGGAACUCAAAGGAGACUGCCAGUGAUAAACUGGAGGAAGGUGGGGAUGACGUCAAGUCAUCAUGGCCCUUACGACCAGGGCUACACACGUGCUACAAUGGCGCAUACAAAGAGAAGCGACCUCGCGAGAGCAAGCGGACCUCAUAAAGUGCGUCGUAGUCCGGAUUGGAGUCUGCAACUCGACUCCAUGAAGUCGGAAUCGCUAGUAAUCGUGGAUCAGAAUGCCACGGUGAAUACGUUCCCGGGCCUUGUACACACCGCCCGUCACACCAUGGGAGUGGGUUGCAAAAGAAGUAGGUAGCUUAACCUUCGGGAGGGCGCUUACCACUUUGUGAUUCAUGACUGGGGUGAAGUCGUAACAAGGUAACCGUAGGGGAACCUGCGGUUGGAUCACCUCCUU
rnacentral:rRNA from 1 species